rnacentral:rRNA from 1 species
CCUACGGGAGACUGCAGUGGGGAAUAUUGCACAAUGGGGGAAACCCUGAUGCAGCGACGCCGCGUGAGUGAAGAAGUAUUUCGGUACGUAAAGCUCUAUCAGCAGGGAAGAAAAUGACGGUACCUGACUAAUAAGCCCCGGCUAACUACGUGCCAGCAGCCGCGGUAAUACGUAGGGGGCAAGCGUUAUCCGGAUUUACUGGGUGUAAAGGGAGCGUAGACGGCAGCGCAAGUCUGAAGUGAAAUCCCAUGGCUUAACCAUGGAACUGCUUUGGAAACUGUGCAGCUGGAGUGAAGGAGAGGUAAGCGGAAUUCCUAGUGGAGCGGUGAAAUGCGUAGAUAUUAGGAGGAACACCAGUGGCGAAGGCGGCUUUCUGGACUGAAACUGACGCUGAGGCUCGAAAGCGUGGGGAGCGAACAGGAUUAGAUACCCUUGUAGUC